rnacentral:lncRNA from 1 species
AAUCAGCCACACCCAUACAUAUAUCCAUUCCUUCUCAGAUUCUUUUCCCACAUGGGUUACUAGGCAUUAUUGAGUAGAUUUCCCUGUGCUAUAAAGUAGGUCCUUGUUACUUAUCUAUCUUAUGUAUAGUAGUCACGCUUCUUUAGACGAUGUUUAUGAGCUGACUGCAAAAGGCUUUCCUUCACCACCAGUAAGAUUUGCUUGGCUGAAACUCUCUCUUCUUCCUUUUCUCUCAUUUCUACUUUUUGUACCAACACACAAAAAUCAGCUAUUUCCUAAAUAAUAAUAUUUGAGGACAAGCAUCAUAUCUAUUACAAAUUGCAUCAUGCCCCCCUCCCCAAUUUAUGUUUUAAAGUCCUAACCCCCAUGCCUCAGAAAGUGACCUUUAUGGAAAUAGGGUGGUCGCAGACACAACUAGUUGAAGUUUUCCUGGAAGAGGAUGGGCCCUUAAUCCAACAUGACUGGUGUCUUUAUAACAAGAACACCUUGUGAUGAGAAAGCGACAUGUGCUAAGUGAAGGUGAUGGGAAGACACAGGAAGCACAACAUCUACGAGGAAACCCAAAGACUUGCAGCAACCCCCAGAAGAAGCUGGGGGACAGGCCUGGAACAGCUUCUCCUUCACAGCCUCCGAAGGAACCAGCCCUGCAGACACCUUGAUCUCCAUCUUCUGGCCUCCAGAGUCACAGGGUCGUGUUUCUGUUGUGCUAGCCACCCAGUCUCUGGGAACUAAUACACUAUCCAUCCUAAGUUUCUCCACCAAGAAUGGUCAUCAGAGGGAAUACACCUUGUUAUAUAACUACUUCUUGAUCCUGGAAGCCUUUCAGAGUCACUAAGUCAGUUGAAACUGAACACUUGAAGGUCACCAAUGACAGCUAAUUUUCUAAAUUUAGUCCUUUCCUCACUCUGCAUCUUUUAAAGCACUGUGGACCUUCUCUCAAGUCUUAAAAAUUCAAUAAAUUUCCAUCAACGUGUCCACUUUAGGCUUCCUUUUCUUAUUCAACAAAAUGAUUUCAUACUUCUAUUUAAGAACUCCAUUUACUCUAAUUUUAUGAAUCUAACAUCUUAGCGUGAUAGAGUGGAGCGACUCAAAAUGCUUCCUUCUUAAACCCUCAACUAACCAUCUGAUAUUUCAGGAUUGAUUUAUUGAGCAUCUACUAUUUGGUCAGACUACAGAGGCAGCACAGCUCACCGAGCCUUUUACACGUAUCUUAUCACCCAGCCUCUGUGAGUCAGUUUUGUUUAUCAACCUGAUUGUUUCAUGGGUGCCCAGACAUCUGUCCGACAUGACUGUCCGUGUCUCUGAGAAUGUGUGUCUGGAUGAGAUGAACUUUGGAAUCAAUACACUGGGUAAAGCAGAUGACUCUCCCUGGUGUGAGUGGGCCUCAACCAACCAAUUGACCAUGUCAUGUUAUUUUAGGUAUCAGCGCAGUGAUACAUACAUAUAUAUGUACACACAUACACACAUAUGUACAUUUUCACACGCAUUUGUUUUCAGAUUCUUUUCCUUUAUAGGUUAACACAACAUAUCAAGUAUAGUGCCCCGUGCUACACAGCAGGUCCUUGUUGUUAUGUACAUAUGUAUACAUACAUAACAUGUACAUGCAUACAUGUCUACAUGUAUCUGUAAACAUAUGCAUAUAUACAUAGAUAUAUUCCUUUUCAGAUUCUUUUCCUUUACAGGUUAUCACAAAAUAUCAAAUACACUUCCCUGUGCUAUACAGUAGGUCCUUGUUGCUUAAGUAUUUUAUGUACAGUAGGAUGUAAUUCUUAAUCUUAAACUCCUAAUUUCUCUCUCCUGCCUCCCUUCCACAUUGGGAACCCUAAGUUAGUUUUCUAUGUCUGUAAGUCUAUUUCUGUUUGGUGAAUAAAUUCACUUGUGUCAUUCCUAUGUCUUUUCACCUCAACUACUCAGCCCACCGCCUGGGAAUGUUACACAGCCUCGUUCCCUUCAUGUUUCUCAAAGGACCUUGUACUUGUACAAGAAGAUGUGCAACACGUGUUUACGGGAGCUGAGGACCCUUGUCCAAUUUAGGAAGGUUAGCAUAGGCCGUUCAUGGGCUCCAAGGCCUGGAAAUAAGAGGGAGAGGGGCCUACAUUUGGGCCACUUGGUUCAACGUCAGCAUUUUCACAACCAUGAACGUGCCCACCCCAUGCCGCCUCCUCCGCCAAUGGCAGUGGUUCUGGAAUCCUCUCUGCAACCAGAAACCUCAGAAAUGCUUUUCUUUCCCAACUAAAAAAUAAAUGACACGAACUGCCUUUGCCGCUGCUUAAUAUACUUAUACCCCAACUCAUACAGAUCACUCCAUCGAAUGCCUUAGCUCAUCUUGCUUUUCAUGAGAAGCAUCUCACGAAGCAAUUUGAUAAUUUAUGACUGGGUACAAAUAUUUAAUGUCACUUCAUGCCAGAUUUUUUUAUGCCAAGUUGAAAUUUCAAACUUAACGACAGACGUUAAUUAGAACACUUUAGGGUUCACAUAGUUUAAAGUGAAGUAAAAGAAGAACACCGGCUGAAUUAUUUUUACUAUCUGGAUAGAAAAUAUUUUCCUAAAAUUACCUUCUCAUGCAGACACCUAGACGGCCUGCCUUGAAAGCAUUUCAAGGUUGUUUUCCAGACAACCCAGUUUCCAAGUCACAAGUCACCAUUAUCAGUGAAUUGAAAGGAGGUCAGAGCCUUCAGGUUGAGCAGUUAGUGCUCAAGAACUGUUUUCUUUUCUUUUCUUCCUUUCUUUUUUUUCUUUUGGCUUUUUAGGGCUGUACUAGUGGCAUGUGGACGUUCCCGGGUGAAAUCAGAGCUACAGCUGCCGGCCUACACUGCAGCCACAACAACACAGGAUCCAAGCCACGUCUACAACCUACACCACAGCUCAUGGCAACGCCGGAUCCUUCACCCACUGAGCAAGGCCAGGGAUUGAACCUGUAACCUCAUGGUUCGUAGUUGGAUUCGUUUCCACUGCACCAUGUUGGGAACUCCAAGAACUGUUUCCUUUUUGAUUCUCAGCCCUCCAGGCGUGAAGGCAGCAUCUACCUGUUCUGACUCAUUUCAACUCCUGUCUCUUUGGAAUCUCGCUUGCCAACCCCUAGCCUGUGCCAGACCUUGGUGAGUCUUGGGCCGAAGCAUAAACUUUGUCUCUUUUAUGCUAAAACCACCUACCUUCCCACGUAUUAACUGCUUCCAUGGGAAGAGUUAGGGUUCGCCUUACACACCCCGUGGGAGGCUCCAGUGACCCGUGAACAGAAAUUACAAGAUAAUUAUACCCAACACCCCCUUGGAAAGUCCCACUGAGGGAAGAACAACCGAGAAUUCUCAAUUGCUUUUAGGCAAAAGAAUCAUGUAAUAGAACAUCAUGGAGUUACAUGCCAUUGCUCAAGCUAGCAGUGGACCAAAGGAAAACAAACUACCGAAUUAAGCUUGGGCUUGAAAAGCUGCUUGGAAAAGAAGGUUUUAAUUCCUUGAAGAUGCGCACCUCUACCGAAAAAGCUACAUCUUCCCCUCCAUCGCUUCCUCAGUCUUGGUCUCCUUUCCGAGACUCCAUUCCACCCACCUCAUUGCGAUUUAUCACGACAGAGUUUGGGUUCUUCUUCUCUCCCCUGUAGCUGCUUCACUCUGCUGCCCGAAGCUUGGUGCCCAGAAAUUUUUGGCAGAUCUUUCAAUGAUGUCUCUAUAAAAUGAAUAAGAAUUCACUGGAACGGGCUAUCCGUGGCAAGCACAAUUUCGCUUGUGUAAAGAGACAGUGCUAGUUUCCAAAGUUGUGAUGAUCAUGUAUUUUUCAAACUGUUUAUUCUGGGGUUUUUGCCAUCAUUUAAAAAAUAAAAUCCUUGUUCACACUGUGGCUCAGCAGUACACAACCUUGCAAGGAUCCCUGAGGAUCCAGGUUUGAUCCCUGGUCCUGAUCCCUGGGUUAAGGAUCCAGUGUUGCUAUGAGCUGUGGUGUAGGUCGCAGAUGCAGCUCGGAUAUGGUGUUGAUGUGGCUGUGGUGUAAGCCGGCAGCUUCAGCUCCCAUUCGACCCCUAACUGGGCAACUUCCAUAUGCUGUAGAUGCAGCCCUAAGAAGCAAUCAAUCCAACCAUCAAUACAUACAUGCAUACAUAAAUUAAUUAAAUAAAAAAUAAAGUCCAGAAGCUCUUUCCUCCAUGUAGCUGGCAAAAAACAAACUCACAAACGUCUAGCAUCCCAAACAAAGCCAUGGACUCCUAGGUCCUCUGAGAGAACGGGGGAAAGUGUCAGCUGGAAGAAUAAAAGCUGUUGCGGAAUGUGUAUCCCCAUCAAACCGGAGAAAUGGACGCGCCAUCUCUGCGUCCCCAGGAAGGGCCGUUGACUUAGAAUUGUGGGUAAAACCACUACUUGUUCUGAAACCUAACUAGCCCCAUUUGAAAGCCCAUUUAAUUACCUAGUACAUAAAACUAGAAAAGUCUGGGAAUACGACAUCCCUGAGACAGCAUGAGACAAUAAGUAUGAAUCCCAAAGACGGAAUAAAAAGAGAGGAAGGGGCGAAAGCGGGAAGAGGAAGAGAAAAGGAGGCGGAGAGAGAGGAGGGGGAGGAGAGGGGGUGGAGGAGGAGGGGACAAGAACCCUAAAAUCACAGCAUCACUGGCCAUUUUACGUAGGCUCAAAGAGCUUCCGCAGUUCAUACCAGCACUGGAAUGGUACGAUAAAAUAUUUGAUGUUUAUAAAGUAACCUUUGUCUAUCCAAGUAUGUGUCACAAUAUCAAAUCAGUGAACUAAAUCAUCUAUUUAGGAAGACGACCAUCAAUUUUCUUACAUGUGUUUUGACACUUUAAGGGAGAUGGCUUAACUACAACAUCUUCAAAUUAAGAAAAUGAAAUUAAUGAUGAUACUUCAUAAUUGAGAUCCCAUUUAAUAUCACCAUUAUUCAGUAAAUUCCUACAAUUAUUUGCUCACAGCUCAGGUCACACUUCAGAACGGUCAUUCAUGCUGCUUUGGUAGCGUGGUGACAGAAAACAUUAGAAAUCUCCAUAUUUUAACAAAUAUUAAUAUCAGUAAUAGAAACAUGCAUGUAAGCAUAUCUGCCACUAUUCUAAGCAUUUUUCUUUUCUUUCUGUUUUCUUAGGGCUGCACCGGCAGUAUAUGGAAGUUCCCAGGUUAAGGGUUGAACUGGAGCUGCAGCUGCUGGCCUACGCCACAACCACAGCAAUGCCAGAUCCGAGUUGCAUCUGUGACCCACACCACAGCUCGAAGCACCGCUGGAUCCGUAACGCACGGAGGGAGGCCAGGGAUCAAACCCACACCCUCAUAGGCACUAUGUCGGAUUCUUAACCCACUGAGCCACAAUGGGAACUCCCACUUUUCUUAUGUCAACUCAUUCGCUCUUCACAAUAACCUUAUGCAUUAGGUCCUACCAUUUGCCCCAUUUUAAAAUGAGCAAUUAAGGCACAGAGAGAUCAAGUAAUUUAUCCUAAGACACACACCUGACUAUCUGAUACAGUGUUUCAAAGGAUCUGAAAAUUCUCUAACCUUUAAUGGGAAUUCAGUACCAGGUUUUUUUACUUUCAACUCUAUGUGAAUUUAAAUCUAAAUGUUUAUAAUGUGUGGCUUAGUUGGCAAUUGCCUCUUGAACUGGUUUAAAUAUGUGUUUCUGUUUCCUCUGAAAACAAAGGUUAUUCUAUUUGUAUUUCUUUACAUUUGUUGUAUCUUU